rnacentral:rRNA from 1 species
GAUGAACGCUGGCGGCGUGCUUAACACAUGCAAGUCGAACGAAGCAUUUGCGACAGAUUUUUUCGGAAUGAAGUUGCUUAUGACUGAGUGGCGGACGGGUGAGUAACGCGUGGGUAACCUGCCUUGUACUGGGGGAUAGCAGCUGGAAACGGCUGGUAAUACCGCAUAAGCGCACAAUGUUGCAUGACAUGGUGUGAAAAACUCCGGUGGUAUAAGAUGGACCCGCGUCUGAUUAGCUAGUUGGUGAGAUAACAGCCCACCAAGGCGACGAUCAGUAGCCGACCUGAGAGGGUGACCGGCCACAUAGGGACUGAGACACGGCCCAGACUCCUACGGGAGGCAGCAGUGGGGAAUAUUGCACAAUGGAGGAAACUCUGAUGCAGCGACGCCGCGUGAGUGAAGAAGUAAUUCGUUAUGUAAAGCUCUAUCAGCAGGGAAGAUAGUGACGGUACCUGACUAAGAAGCUCCGGCUAAAUACGUG